rnacentral:sRNA from 1 species
GGACCGCCGAGAGUGGAGCCUCCGCGCUCGA